GCUUAACACAUGCAAGUCGAGGGGCAUCAGGAAGAAAGCUUGCUUUCUUUGCUGGCGACCGGCGCACGGGUGAGUAACACGUAUCCAACCUGCCCUUUACUCGGGGAUAGCCUUUCGAAAGAAAGAUUAAUACCCGAUAGCAUAAUGAUUCCGCAUGGUUUCAUUAUUAAAGGAUUCCGGUAAAGGAUGGGGAUGCGUUCCAUUAGGUUGUUGGUGAGGUAACGGCCCACCAAGCCUUCGAUGGAUAGGGGUUCUGAGAGGAAGGUCCCCCACAUUGGAACUGAGACACGGUCCAAACUCCUACGGGAGGCAGCAGUGAGGAAUAUUGGUCAAUGGGCGCUAGCCUGAACCAGCCAAGUAGCGUGAAGGAUGAAGGCUCUAUGGGUCGUAAACUUCUUUUAUAUAAGAAUAAAGUGCAGUAUGUAUACUGUUUUGUAUGUAUUAUAUGAAUAAGGAUCGGCUAACUCCGUGCCAGCAGCCGCGGUAAUACGGAGGAUCCGAGCGUUAUCCGGAUUUAUUGGGUUUAAAGGGAGCGUAGGUGGACUGGUAAGUCAGUUGUGAAAGUUUGCGGCUCAACCGUAAAAUUGCAGUUGAUACUGUCAGUCUUGAGUACAGUAGAGGUGGGCGGAAUUCGUGGUGUAGCGGUGAAAUGCUUAGAUAUCACGAAGAACUCCGAUUGCGAAGGCAGCUCACUGGACUGCAACUGACACUGAUGCUCGAAAGUGUGGGUAUCAAACAGGAUUAGAUACCCUGGUAGUCCACACAGUAAACGAUGAAUACUCGCUGUUUGCGAUAUACAGUAAGCGGCCAAGCGAAAGCAUUAAGUAUUCCACCUGGGGAGUACGCCGGCAACGGUGAAACUCAAAGGAAUUGACGGGGGCCCGCACAAGCGGAGGAACAUGUGGUUUAAUUCGAUGAUACGCGAGGAACCUUACCCGGGCUUAAAUUGCAGUGGAAUGAUGUGGAAACAUGUCAGUGAGCAAUCACCGCUGUGAAGGUGCUGCAUGGUUGUCGUCAGCUCGUGCCGUGAGGUGUCGGCUUAAGUGCCAUAACGAGCGCAACCCUUAUCUUUAGUUACUAACAGGUUAUGCUGAGGACUCUAGAGAGACUGCCGUCGUAAGAUGUGAGGAAGGUGGGGAUGACGUCAAAUCAGCACGGCCCUUACGUCCGGGGCUACACACGUGUUACAAUGGGGGGUACAGAAGGCAGCUAGCGGGUGACCGUAUGCUAAUCCCAAAAUCCUCUCUCAGUUCGGAUCGAAGUCUGCAACCCGACUUCGUGAAGCUGGAUUCGCUAGUAAUCGCGCAUCAGCCACGGCGCGGUGAAUACGUUCCCGGGCCUUGUACACACCGCCCGUCAAGCCAUGGGAGCCGGGGGUACCUGAAGUACGUAACCGCAAGGAUCGUCCUAGGGUAAAACUGGUGACUGGGGC
rnacentral:rRNA from 1 species